rnacentral:tRNA from 1 species
CUGGUAGUGCACCUGGUUUGGGACCAGGGGGUCGUAGGUUCGAAUCCUACUGCUCCGACCA